UACGAAGGGGGCUAGCGUUGCUCGGAAUCACUGGGCGUAAAGGGUGCGUAGGCGGGUCUUUAAGUCAGGGGUGAAAUCCUGGAGCUCAACUCCAGAACUGCCUUCGAUACUGGAGCUUGAGUCCGGGAGAGGUGAGUGGAACUGCGAGUGUAGAGGUGAAAUUCGUAGAUAUUCGCAAGAACACCAGUGGCGAAGGCGGCUCACUGGCCCGGUACUGACGCUGAGGUGCGAAAGCGUGGGGAGCAAACAGGG
rnacentral:rRNA from 1 species